ACACAGACACACACAAAUAUGCAUAUAUAUAUUUAUAAAUAGUGGCUAAUAAUAAUUGAGUUUUUAGUGCUAUUUUAUUAUCUUUUAAUUUUGGACUUGCUAAAUACAUUGGUUGCUUAGAUGAAGAUAGUAUUGAUGACACUUUCAAUAAUGUAUUGACAACUCCUCUUGAUCUCAAGGAUCAUGUGAUGUUUGCAACAAGUAAAAUGGAAGACAUCAAGCUGCAGACCCUCAAGUGUAUAGUGAAUCCACAGAUGCUGAAAUUGCUGGUUUAUUGUUGGUGACUUCGAUGGCUCGGAUACUGGACGUGAUAUCAUUGUUCAAUCUAGGAACGGAGCGCUACAACGUAUUCAUGAGACACGUACUUGUUACUGGCGGAUGCAAUAUCCUUUGUUGAAUAAUAAUUGGGAGUACUAGAGAAACUAAUUUGUUGAUGGACAUAUGGGUACAAGGAAGAAUAAUCUGGCUGAUUCAGUUGCUGAUUUUGGAUUGUGAGGCAAUGCUUUGAUAACUUUUGCCUGGUGAUGAUGAUGAUGAUCAACAUUAUUUGAUGCCAAAAAUGUUGGUGCCACAGGGAACAAAGGAAGUACAUCACCUUUCAUUUUCUUGCAAGGACUACUACUCCUACUACUUGUUGUGCUUCUAUCUUUAUCUUUUCUAACAUUGUUGGUAGUUCUUGGCAUUAUUU